rnacentral:rRNA from 1 species
UACGGAGGGGGCUAGCGUUGUUCGGAAUUACUGGGCGUAAAGCGCGCGUAGGCGGCUUUGUAAGUUAGAGGUGAAAGCCCAGGGCUCAACUCCGGAACUGCCUUUAAAACUGCUUCGCUAGAAUCAGGGAGAGGUGAGUGGAAUUCCGAGUGUAGAGGUGAAAUUCGUAGAUAUUCGGAAGAACACCAGUGGCGAAGGCGGCUCACUGGACCUGUAUUGACGCUGAGGUGCGAAAGCGUGGGGAGCAAACAGG